AUGGACUUACGUACGAUUGCCGUCGUUAUAUGGGUGUUCUACAAGUCAUGGGGGUCCACGACUGCAGAGUUGCACGGACCAGCUAUUUUCUUGUCGUUAUAUGGGUUUAUCAAAUGCUUACAGAAGCCAUGGGCUCUCAACAGCGCUAGCUUUAAUAGCCUAGCUAAUUCUUGCGGUCCAGCUCAGAGGACUGAAAGCAGAGAAGAAGAGCUUGAAAAAUAUGUCGAGCAAGCAAGGGCUUUCAUUCUAGGGGAAGAUACAUCGGACGGGGCCGCGGAAUAUAAGCCCGGGAUGCUAUUCAUAGACUUUGCAUAUCCCUACUGUGAUCGCUUUACUAACCUGAAGCACUUCUUUUGGUAUGGCGACCAAGAAACUCAUCGUGAACUGAAGUACAUACUCUCCAACAUUUUCAUAGUUCUCUACACCAAAAAGUCAAUCCCAAAUCAUCCAAAAAUGAUUGUCUCUUUUUGUGGUGCUUUGAUAAUGAUUAUUAUGGUCAGUUCGCUAAUGAGCGCUUUUUUUAUCACUGGUGUCUAUGCAAAAAAAAGUGUGGAUCGGACAAUGACAUUCGUGCUAUUGUUUGGCACUAUUGUGCUAGAGGGUCUGACAUUAGAAGUUAAGGAUUCUUUUAGAUAUAAGCAAUGGCUUGACAAGAUUGCCAAACAUAGCGUUCUAGGAUACUUUGCCCGCAACAGAAGGCACAACAUGUUCAUGAGAUUCAUGAGAUUCUUCCAAUGCAAGGACAUCCUUGACCAAAAUUGGUCCAUGGAGCCUUGCUACUCGUCUAUGGAAAUCACAAAGUUAGUUCAUCAGCAUGUUCGAGAUGGGUGGAAGGAUUAUAUAAAAGACGCUGAGAGUUACAAGGAGUUCAACGACAUAAGGGGCCAGUGGACACUUGUGCAUUUCUGCUUCCAUCAGAUGGACAUACCCCCUGACCAUGAAUGUGCAUCUCGAUCUAGAGAAAUAUCCAAUUACAUGAUGCACCUAUUGUUUAUGAAUCCUGAGAUGUUAAUGCCAGGCAGUCGAAGAAAUCUUUUCAAAACUGUAUAUCGAGAACUCAGAGACAUCCUCAAAGGUGAGGGAACAUUCUUUUUUCCGGGUGAGGGAACAUCCAAUCAGGAAAAAGGGAUUGCGCAGAAAACCAUUGAUAAGUUGAAGCACAAUGCAGAUUUGAAAAUCAAUUUUCUUUACGAUGCUUGGGUACUUGCUAAAGGGCUCAUGGAUAUAGGUGAUGAGAGCAAGAUGUGGAAGGUGAUCCAAGGCGUGUGGUUAGAGAUGCUCUGCUUUUCGGCUGGCAGAUGCCGAGGCUACCUGCAUGCCAAGAGUCUAGGCUCCGGUGUGGAGUAUCUCUCUUUUGUUUGGCUCCUCCUGGCAUAUAUGGGGAUGGAAACAUUCUCGGAGAGGAUUCAACGAACCAUGUCGAUUAAAUUGUUGAAACAGAGAAUAGAAAACCUUCCAAACGGAGAAUCAGGUAAUAACAACUUUUCUGUUUCCCCAGAUGAAGGCGCCACUCCGUUUGAUGAAAUUGUUGUCCUACCAUAA
rnacentral:rRNA from 1 species